rnacentral:rRNA from 1 species
GACGAACGCUGGCGGCGUGCUUAACACAUGCAAGUCGAACGGAAAGGCCCUGCUUUUGUGGGGUGCUCGAGUGGCGAACGGGUGAGUAACACGUGAGUAAACUGCACUUGACUUUGGGAUAACUUCAGGAAACUGGGGCUAAUACAGGAUAGGAGCUCCUGCUGCAUGGUGGGGGUUGGAAAGUUUCGGCGGUUGGGGAUGGACUCGCGGCUUAUCAGCUUGUUGGUGGGGUAGUGGCUUACCAAGGCUUUGACGGGUAGCCGGCCUGAGAGGGUGACCGGCCACAUUGGGACUGAGAUACGGCCCAGACUCCUACGGGAGGCAGCAGUGGGGAAUAUUGCACAAUGGGCGGAAGCCUGAUGCAGCAACGCCGCGUGCGGGAUGACGUCCUUCGGGUUGUAAACCGCUUUCGCCUGUGACGAAGCGUGAGUGACGGUAAUGGGUAAAGAAGCACCGGCUAACUACGUG